UGGGGAAUAUUGCACAAUGGAGGGAACUCUGAUGCAGCGACGCCGCGUGAACGAAGAAGGCUUUCGAGUCGUAAAGUUCUUUUAUAUGGGAAGAUAAUGACGGUACCAUAAGAAGAAGCCCCGGCUAACUACGUGCCAGCAGCCGCGGUAAUACGUAGGGGGCUAGCGUUGUCCGGAAUCACUGGGCGUAAAGGGUUCGCAGGCGGAAAUGCAAGUCAGGUGUAAAAGGCAGUAGCUUAACUACUGUAAGCAUUUGAAACUGCAUAUCUUGAGAAGAGUAGAGGUAAGUGGAAUUUUUAGUGUAGCGGUAAAAUGCGUAGAUAUUAAAAAGAAUACCGGUGGCGAAGGCGACUUACUGGGCUCAUUCUGACGCUGAGGAACGAAAGCGUGGGUAGCAAACAGG
rnacentral:rRNA from 1 species